UUAGGUUAAGUGAAGAAGGGCGCACGGCGGAUGCCUUGGCACUAGGAGCCGAUGAAGGACGGGACAAACACCGAUAUGCUUCGGGGAGCUGCACGUAAGCUUUGAUCCGAAGAUUUCCGAAUGGGGGAACCCAGCCAUCUGAGAAGGUGGUUGAUCAGUCGUGAAUACAUAGCGGCUGAUCGGCAGACGUGGUGAACUGAAACAUCUCAGUAGCCACAGGAAGAGAAAGAAAUUUCGAUUUCCCAAGUAGCGGCGAGCGAACAGGAAAGAGCCCAAACCAGCGUGCUUGCAUGCUGGGGUUGUAGGACCGAUGUAGUGAGUGAUAAAAGAAGGAAUUAGGCGAACGGCCUGGGAAGGCCGGCCAGAGCGGGUGACAGCCCCGUAGCCGAAAGUUGCUUCUCUCCAAUCGGGAUCCUGAGUACGGCGGAACACGUGAAAUUCCGUCGGAAUCUGGGAGGACCAUCUCCCAAGGCUAAAUACUCCCUAGUGACCGAUAGCGAACCAGUACCGUGAGGGAAAGGUGAAAAGCACCCCGGAAGGGGAGUGAAACAGUACCUGAAACCGUGUGCCUACAAGUAGUCAAAGCCCGUUAAUGGGUAAUGGCGUGCCUUUUGUAGAAUGAACCGGCGAGUUACGUUAGCUAGCGAGGUUAAGGCAGAAAAGCCGGAGCCGGAGCGAAAGCGAGUCUGAAUAGGGCGAGUGAGUUAGCUGAUGUAGACCCGAAACCAAGUGACCUACCCAUGACCAGGUUGAAGGUGCGGUAAAACGCACUGGAGGACCGAACCCACUUAUGUUGAAAAAUGAGGGGAUGAGUUGUGGGUAGCGGUGAAAUUCCAAUCGAACUUGGAGAUAGCUGGUUCUCUCCGAAAUAGCUUUAGGGCUAGCCUCGGAAAAGCGGAUACUGGAGGUAGAGCACUGUUUGGAUGAUGGUCCCGUCUCGGGAUACUGAAUGCAGAUAAACUCCGAAUGCCAGAUAUUUGUUUCCGGGAGUCAGACUGCGAGUGAUAAGAUCCGUAGUCGAAAGGGGAACAGCCCAGAUCACCAGUUAAGGUCCCUAAAUCCAUGCUAAGUGGAAAAGGAUGUGAAGUUGCACAGACAACUAGGAUGUUGGCUCAGAAGCAGCCACCAUUUAAAGAGUGCGUAAUAGCUCACUAGUCGAGUGACUCUGCGCCGAAAAUGUACCGGGGCUAAGCAUGGUACCGAAACUGUGGGUGCGACCGCAAGGUCGUGCGAUAGGAGAGCGUUCUAAGGGCGGUGAAGGCAGACUGUGAAGACUGCUGGAGCGCUUAGAAGUGAGAAUGCCGGCAUGAGUAACGAAAAGGCAGGUGAGAAUCCUGCCCGCCGCAAGACUAAGGUUUCCUGGGGAAGGUUCGUCCGCCCAGGGUUAGUCGGGACCUAAGAUGAGGCCGAAAGGCGUAAUCGAUGGCCAACAGGUGGAGAUUCCUGUACCGAUCUGUUAUGUUUGAGCGAAGGAAGGACGCAGGAGGCUAAGGUGAGCACGCAGCUGGAAAAGCGUGUCCAAGCACUGAGUCUGGGAGCGAGUCAAAUGCUUGUUCCUAAGGACAAGGUGUGAUGGGGAGUGAAAUUAAGUAGCGAAGCACCUGAUGUCACACUGCCGAGAAAAGUUUCUAGUGAGUAACAGAUCGCCCGUACCGCAAACCGACACAGGUAGUCGAGGAGAGUAUCCUCAGGCGCGCGAGAGAACCCUCGUUAAGGAACUCGGCAAAAUAACCCCGUAACUUCGGAAGAAGGGGUGCUGACCGGAAGGUCAGCCGCAGUGAAUAGGCCCAAACAACUGUUUAUCAAAAACACAGGUCUCUGCUAAAUCGAAAGAUGACGUAUAGGGGCUGACACCUGCCCGGUGCUGGAAGGUUAAGAGGAUCUGUUAGCGUAAGCGAAGCAGAGAAUUGAAGCCCCAGUAAACGGCGGCCGUAACUAUAACGGUCCUAAGGUAGCGAAAUUCCUUGUCGGGUAAGUUCCGACCCGCACGAAAGGUGUAAUGAUUUGGGCACUGUCUCAACGAGGGACUCGGUGAAAUUAUAUUACCCGUGAAGAUGCGGGUUACCCGCGACAGGACGGAAAGACCCCAUGGAGCUUUACUGUAGCUUGAUAUUGAGUGUCUGUACCGCAUGUACAGGAUAGGUAGGAGCCGUAGAAACCGGGACGCUAGUCUCGGUGGAGGCAUUGGUGGGAUACUACCCUUGCAGUGCGGCCACUCUAACCCGCGCCACUCAGCGUGGCGGGAGACAGUGUCAGGCAGGCAGUUUGACUGGGGCGGUCGCCUCCUAAAGUGUAACGGAGGCGCCCAAAGGUUCCCUCAGAAUGGUUGGAAAUCAUUCACAGAGUGUAAAGGCAUAAGGGAGCUUGACUGCGAGACAGACAGGUCGAGCAGGGACGAAAGUCGGGCUUAGUGAUCCGGUGGUUCUGUAUGGAAAGGCCAUCGCUCAACGGACAAAAGCUACCCUGGGGAUAACAGGCUUAUCUCCCCCAAGAGUCCACAUCGACGGGGAGGUUUGGCACCUCGAUGUCGGCUCAUCGCAUCCUGGGGCUGAAGUUGGUCCCAAGGGUUGGGCUGUUCGCCCAUUAAAGCGGUACGCGAGCUGGGUUCAGAACGUCGUGAGACAGUUCGGUCCCUAUCCGUCGCGGGCGUAGGAAAUUUGAGAAGAGCUGCCCUUAGUACGAGAGGACCGGGGUGGACAUACCGCUGGUGUACCAGUUGUGCCGCCAGGCGCAGAGCUGGGUAGCUAUGUAUGGCAGGGAUAAGCGCUGAAAGCAUCUAAGUGUGAAGCCCCCUUCGAGAUGAGAUUUCCCAUUCCUUUAAGGAAGUAAGACCCCUGAGAGAUGAUCAGGUAGAUAGGCUGGGAGUAGCAGCCCCGUGAGGGGUGGAGCGGACCAGUACUAAUCGGUCGAGGACUUAACCAAAA
rnacentral:rRNA from 1 species